rnacentral:rRNA from 1 species
UACNGGAAGAAACACACCUACGUGUAGGUGCUUGACGGUACUGUAAGAAUAAGCACCGGCUAACUCCGUGCCAGCAGCCGCGGUAAUACGGAGGGUGCAAGCGUUAUCCGGAAUCAUUGGGUUUAAAGGGUCCGCAGGCGGUCAAUUAAGUCAGAGGUGAAAUCCCAUAGCUCAACUAUGGAACUGCCUUUGAUACUGGUUGACUUGAGUUAUACGGAAGUAGAUAGAAUAAGUAGUGUAGCGGUGAAAUGCAUAGAUAUUACUUAGAAUACCGAUUGCGAAGGCAGUCUACUACGUAUAUACUGACGCUCAUGGACGAA